rnacentral:lncRNA from 1 species
GUGCCAUAUCGAGCAUGACUUUCAUCCUCUGGAUCUACAGACAUCAAGAGAGAUAGGAGGAUCCCCUUCCACGUCUGCAGCUUAUGGGGUUUUCAGGGAGGAAGGAAGAAACAAGAAUGAGAAGACUAUUUCUGCAGAACAUCGAGAUAUUUCAUGAAUCACAUGCUCUUACUGAGGAAGAAGAGACAGCGAAAAGGAAGCAAUGAUGAAGAACUCAAGCAUGUGUUCCUUCAGACAUCUUUACAACUAAACAUCACUUAUUUAUCACUUCAUAAGCUCAAAUUGAGGGUACCUACUUUGCCACAGAAGCGGCCCUGGCAAGGAGUUUCAACUGACAGAACUCAGCUAGCAAAAGAAGAUAAACAGAGAAGUAAGACUGCCUGUUGCUGGUGUCAUUGGCAAACCAAGAUCUUGCUGCUCAACUGUUACGUGCUCAACAGAUGGGUAUUUGCUAUAUGGAAGUGGAGAACACAUGCAUUUACCUGGCUACUCAGCCUGUACAGAAAGAGAUUACAGUGACUAAGAGCAGCAGGGCCUAAGGAACUGCUGAGGCAGUUAAUCAACAUGACUGCACUUUCCCAGAACACGGAGAAAACAUCCAAGUUUUGCUACAAUGGACUUUAAGAUCUUACAUACACCUCGGAGUCUGGAGCUAUGGCAUUCCUCCAAAAUAGUUCACAGUUUUUGCAGUUGAAACGUUACUGCAAAAUGGCACUAAAGUGCAUAAGUAAGUAUCUGAAUGUUUGCUGGGCUAAAAGGUGCUGUGCAAGCUUAAGUUACUGCUUUGCCAUUAUAUACAAGAUCAUUUUUCUUUGGGAAGGGGUGCUAGUUCUGGAAAUACCACUGAUUUUAAUUUUGAUGGAGGAUUGUCUACCUUUCACCUUUUUAAAAGAUGUACAGAUCCCC